rnacentral:rRNA from 1 species
GUAGGUGGCAGGCGUUGUCCGGAAUUAUUGGGCGUAAAGCGCGCGCAGGGCGGUCCUUUAAGUCUGAUGUGAAAGCCCACGGCUCGACCGUGGAGGGUCAUUGGAAACUGGGGGACUUGAGUACAGAAGAGGAAAGCGGAAUUCCAAGUGUAGCGGUGAAAUGCGUAGAGAUUUGGAGGAACACCAGUGGCGAAGGCGGCUUUCUGGUCUGUAACUGACGCUGGGGCGCGAAAGCGUGGGGAGCAAACAGGAUUAGAUACCCUGGUAGUCCACGCCGUAAACGAUGAGUGCUAAGUGUUAGGGGGUUUCCGCCCCUUAGUGCUGCAGCUAACGCAUUAAGCACUCCGCCUGGGGAGUACGGCCGCAAAGGCUG